UGGGGAAUAUUGCACAAUGGGCGCAAGCCUGAUGCAGCCAUGCCGCGUGUAUGAAGAAGGCCUUCGGGUUGUAAAGUACUUUCAGCGGGGAGGAAGGGAGUAAAGUUAAUACCUUUGCUCAUUGACGUUACCCGCAGAAGAAGCACCGGCUAACUCCGUGCCAGCAGCCGCGGUAAUACGGAGGGUGCAAGCGUUAAUCGGAAUUACUGGGCGUAAAGCGCACGCAGGCGGUUUGUUAAGUCAGAUGUGAAAUCCCCGGGCUCAACCUGGGAACUGCAUCUGAUACUGGCAAGCUUGAGUCUCGUAGAGGGGGGUAGAAUUCCAGGUGUAGCGGUGAAAUGCGUAGAGAUCUGGAGGAAUACCGGUGGCGAAGGCGGCCCACUGGACGAAGACUGACGCUCAGGUGCGAAAGCGUGGGGAGCAAACAGG
rnacentral:rRNA from 2 species